GCGCCAGAUUAUCUCUGGGAAAUCUGUCUUGCACAGGCAAAGGAGGCGGUGGCUGAGUGUGGUUUUCAGGUGAAGACUCAUCGCCCUAUUUUCCAUAAAAGGCAAGAAGGACUGGGGGUUUUUGAAGAUGAAUCUGCCAGCUUCACCCAACUGAUUCGAACCAAGUUAAAUCUGUCCCGGAAGAAAAAAAUUCCAAUCGAGAAAAUGGUUUUAGAGCUGCGCAAUGAGCUGGAGGAAAGAAAGUCUGUUUUGAACAGUUCAACUAAAUUCAUUGAUCAUAAAAACCUCGCUACAAUGAUCAUCCUCACAGUUUAAAAAAGAAAGAAACUGAGUAUUUUGUCUUUCCCUUUUUGGGCUUUCUAAAUUCAAGGUCAUUGAGCAUAUUUGUUUCCUUUUCUUUCUUCUCUUUUUCUAUCUUUCUCAUGAUUCGACUUCUGUCCUUCCUUUGUUGGUACCUUGCGAAGUUCUCAUGUAAUUAUCGGAGUC
rnacentral:sRNA from 2 species